CAUGCAAGUCGAACGGCAGCACGGACUUCGGUCUGGUGGCGAGUGGCGAACGGGUGAGUAAUGUAUCGGAACGUGCCCAGUAGCGGGGGAUAACUACGCGAAAGCGUAGCUAAUACCGCAUACGCCCUACGGGGGAAAGCAGGGGAUCGCAAGACCUUGCACUAUUGGAGCGGCCGAUAUCGGAUUAGCUAGUUGGUGGGGUAACGGCUCACCAAGGCGACGAUCCGUAGCUGGUUUGAGAGGACGACCAGCCACACUGGGACUGAGACACGGCCCAGACUCCUACGGGAGGCAGCAGUGGGGAAUUUUGGACAAUGGGGGAAACCCUGAUCCAGCCAUCCCGCGUGUGCGAUGAAGGCCUUCGGGUUGUAAAGCACUUUUGGCAGGAAAGAAACGUCGUGGGUUAAUACCCCGCGAAACUGACGGUACCUGCAGAAUAAGCACCGGCUAACUACGUGCCAGCAGCCGCGGUAAUACGUAGGGUGCAAGCGUUAAUCGGAAUUACUGGGCGUAAAGCGUGCGCAGGCGGUUCGGAAAGAAAGAUGUGAAAUCCCAGGGCUUAACUUUGGAACUGCAUUUUUAACUACCGGGCUAGAGUGUGUCAGAGGGAGGUGGAAUUCCGCGUGUAGCAGUGAAAUGCGUAGAUAUGCGGAGGAACACCGAUGGCGAAGGCAGCCUCCUGGGAUAACACUGACGCUCAUGCACGAAAGCGUGGGGAGCAAACCGGAUUAGAUACCCUGGUAGUCCACGCCCUAAACGAUGUCAACUAGCUGUUGGGGCCUUCGGGCCUUGGUAGCGCAGCUAACGCGUGA
rnacentral:rRNA from 1 species